rnacentral:lncRNA from 1 species
GGAAUGUUUAAAAGCCAAUUUUGCCUUAUGUAUUGAUUUUAGAACCUUAUUUGUAGCAAUUUAUUGAAAAAAAAAAAACGUAUUUGAAACUUUGACAGCAACUGUGGUGCUGCUGCAGCGAGGUCACUGACAGCUCUAAUGGCCCCUUUAUUAUCUCUUUCCUGUUUCUGGGCAAACCUCUUAGCCAUUCGUUCCUGGUUAACUCGGAAACACAUCCAGAGGCUGCAUGCAGCUGCCACAGUCAUCAAGCGUGCAUGGCAGAAGUGGAGAAUCAGAAUGGCCUGCCUUGCUGCUAAAGAGCUGGAUGGUGUGGAAGAAAAACACUUCUCUCAAGCUCCCUGUUCCCUGAGCACCUCGCCGCUGCAGACCAGGCUCCUGGAGGCAAUAAUCCGCCUCUGGCCCCUGGGACUGGUCCUGGCCAAUACGGCUAUGGGUGUAGGCAGCUUUCAGAGGAAAUUAGUGGUCUGGGCUUGCCUCCAGCUCCCCAGGGGCAGCCCCAGUAGCUACACUGUCCAGACAGCACAAGACCAGGCUGGUGUCACGUCCAUCCGAGCGCUGCCUCAGGGAUCGAUAAAGUUUCACUGCAGAAAGUCUCCACUGCGGUAUGCUGACAUCUGCCCUGAACCUUCACCCUACAGCAUUACAGGCUUUAAUCAGAUUCUGCUGGAAAGACACAGGCUGAUCCACGUGACCUCUUCUGCCUUCACUGGGCUGGGGUGAUCCUUGGUGCCUUUGUUUCCACAAGGCCUUUUCCUGCCCCCUGCCUUGCCAAAGACAUUUAAUCAGCACACAGCUGCCAGACUAUUCCCACAGUGCUCCAAAUGCACAUGAACAACAGUGACGGCUCCAGCCUUCGACCCAGAGCCCCGUGCCCAGUGCGUCAGUGGGCCUGGGGUUCCAGGCUACAUCAAGCACUGAUGGUGUCAGGGCUGGUAGUUACCAAAUCAGGGUUAAGAAACAUCAGGGCCACAUUUCACUACCUUCACAGAUCAAACUCAGCAGCAGUCAUGACUGUCUGUCACUACACUGGGGAUCCCA